GGCACGUGAUGGUUCUUUCUCACGAUGGUCUGCGGAGGCCGCUGUGGGCAGUGCCGAAAAUGCCAUUGGCUUAGCUGAUGCCAGCAC